rnacentral:tRNA from 1 species
GGCCCCAUGGCUUAGUUUGGUAGAGUGCCCGACUGAUAAUCGGGUGGUCCCGAGUUCAAACAAAUGGUUACGCUCAUUUGAAACGCAAGAGCGGGUUGGACAUAAAGCCCAACGCACUGCGAAAAAGCGGAACUGUUAUGAAAGUCUCGGUGGGGCCA